rnacentral:rRNA from 1 species
GAGUUUGAUCUUGGCUCAGGAUGAACGCUGGCGGCGUGCCUAAUACAUGCAAGUCGAGCGAACGGACGAGAAGCUUGCUUCUCUGAUGUUAGCGGCGGACGGGUGAGUAACACGUGGAUAACCUACCUAUAAGACUGGGAUAACUUCGGGAAACCGGAGCUAAUACCGGAUAAUAUUUUGAACCGCAUGGUUCAAAAGUGAAAGACGGUCUUGCUGUCACUUAUAGAUGGAUCCGCGCUGCAUUAGCUAGUUGGUAAGGUAACGGCUUACCAAGGCAACGAUGCAUAGCCGACCUGAGAGGGUGAUCGGCCACACUGGAACUGAGACACGGUCCAGACUCCUACGGGAGGCAGCAGUAGGGAAUCUUCCGCAAUGGGCGAAAGCCUGACGGAGCAACGCCGCGUGAGUGAUGAAGGUCUUCGGAUCGUAAAGCUCUGUUAUUAGGGAAGAACAUAUGUGUAAGUAACUGUGCACAUCUUGACGGUACCUAAUCAGAAAGCCACGGCUAACUACG